GAUGAACGCUGGCGGCGUGCCUAAUACAUGCAAGUCGAGCGAAUGGAUUAAGAGCUUGCUCUUAUGAAGUUAGCGGCGGACGGGUGAGUAACACGUGGGUAACCUGCCCAUAAGACUGGGAUAACUCCGGGAAACCGGGGCUAAUACCGGAUAACAUUUUGAACCGCAUGGUUCGAAAUUGAAAGGCGGCUUCGGCUGUCACUUAUGGAUGGACCCGCGUCGCAUUAGCUAGUUGGUGAGGUAACGGCUCACCAAGGCAACGAUGCGUAGCCGACCGGAGAGGGUGGUCGGCCACACUGGGACUGAAACACGGCCCAGACUCCUACGGGAGGCAGCAGUAGGGAAUCUUCCGCAAUGGACGAAAGUCUGACGGAGCAACGCCGCGUGAGUGAUGAAGGCUUUCGGGUCGUAAAACUCUGUUGUUAGGGAAGAACAAGUGCUAGUUGAAUAAGCUGGCACCUUGACGGUACCUAACCAGAAAGCCACGGCUAACUACGUGCCAGCCGCCGCGGUAA
rnacentral:rRNA from 1 species